CCUGUCUCCUUUUUUCUUGUUAAUUCUGAUGAAGGGCUGUGAAGGGCUGGCUGCUUGCCUGACUUGAAGAAGGUGCAUUCCCUCUGCCAUGCAGGUGAACACACGAGACUCAGAAUGGCUGGGGGUGUUCCCAAGGUCACAUCCUGGCUGUCAGCACAUUGAGGGCUCAGACCAAGUUCUUUGUGACUCCAAAAUCAGUCCUUUUCAUGACUUGCUGACAAACCUAAAGAUAAAAGUUAGGGCCUUCUUUAUUCUUUCCCUUGACUGCCUUUGCCAGCCAAUGACGGACAACCUCUGACGGCUGAGAUGGAGGCACCCGCAGGCCAGCCGGAGUCUUCUCCGGUACUUACCAGUCAGAGUGGUGAGACUCACAGACGCUCUCUCAGAAACUGGCAGCUUACACUCAACACCCAGUGCCUAGUUCCCCACCCUGUCUCCUCUAACUCCUCACCUGCCUCCUGCCUAUCUCCUCCUUCCAGUUCUGUCUCCUCCUUCUAGUUCUGUCUCCUCCUUCCAGUUCUGUCCUCAGAAAAUAAGACAGUUUUGGGUGAGCCAGCAAGGAGGCAGGAGUGAGUCAGCGUGCGUCUGUUAACACGCUGGGCUUAGUGGUUCUAGGGACCUACAGAGGCUCCAGGGUGGGCGGCAGUGGGACCUGGGCCUGUGCUUUCUGUUAUUUACACAUGGCUGUGGUGACGCCCAAGGGGCUUGCAGUACUCAGCAGGGCACUGAGGGCGAAGCUGUCUUCUCCCCUGGUGACACCCCUCGGGGGUCUUUUGUGGUCUGGGUAGCUGUGUGGAGCUGAACCGGUCUGCAUUCCUGGAACCAGAGGGAUUAUCCAAGACCAGGAAGUCGGUGUUUAUUACCAGGAAGCUGACGGUGUCAGUCGGGGAAAUUGUGAACGGAGGGCCAUUGCCCCCCGUCCCUCGUCACACCCCUGUGUGCAGCUUCAACUCCCAGAACAAGUACAUUGGGGAGAGCCUGGCCGCGGAGCUGCCCGUCAUCAGCACCCAGAGACCCGGCUCCGACACAGUGGGCGGAGGGAGAGGAGAGGAGUGUGGUGUAGAGCCGGAUGCACCCCUGCCCAGUCUCCCACAGUCUCUACCAGCCCCUGCGCCCUCACCAGUGCCUCUGCCUCCUGUCCUGGCACUGACCCCGUCUGUGGCGCCCAGCCUCUUCCAGCUGUCUGUGCAGCCUGAACCACCGCCUCCAGAGCCCGUGCCCAUGUACUCUGACGAGGACCUGGCGCAGGUGGUGGACGAGCUCAUCCAGGAGGCCCUGCAGAGGGACUGUGAGGAAGUUGGCUCUGCGGGUGCUGCCUACGCAGCUGCCGCCCUGGGUGUUUCUAAUGCUGCUAUGGAGGAUUUGUUAACAGCUGCAACCACGGGCAUUUUGAGGCACAUUGCAGCUGAAGAAGUGUCUAAGGAAAGAGAGCGAAGGGAGCAGGAGAGGCAGCGGGCUGAAGAGGAAAGGUUGAAACAAGAGAGAGAGCUGGUGUUAAGUGAGCUGAGCCAGGGCCUGGCUGUGGAGCUGAUGGAACGCGUGAUGAUGGAGUUUGUGAGAGAAACCUGCUCCCAGGAGUUGAAGAAUGCAGUAGAGACAGACCAGAGGGUCCGUGUGGCCCGUUGCUGUGAGGAUGUCUGUGCCCACUUAGUGGACUUGUUUCUCGUGGAGGAAAUCUUCCAGACUGCAAAGGAGACCCUCCAGGAGCUUCAGUGCUUCUGCAAGUAUCUACAGCGGUGGAGGGAAGCUGUCACAGCCCGCAAGAAACUGAGGCGCCAAAUGCGGGCUUUCCCUGCUGCGCCCUGCUGCGUGGACGUGAGCGACCGGCUGAGGGCGCUGGCGCCCAGCGCAGAGUGCCCCAUUGCUGAAGAGAACCUGGCCAGGGGCCUCCUGGACCUGGGCCAUGCAGGGAGAUUGGGCAUCUCCUGCACCAGGUUAAGGCGGCUCAGAAACAAGACGGCUCACCAGAUGAAGGUUCAGCACUUCUACCAGCAGCUGCUGAGUGAUGUGGCAUGGGCAUCUCUGGACCUGCCAUCCCUCGUGGCUGAGCACCUCCCUGGGAGGCAGGAGCAUGUGUUUUGGAAGCUGGUGCUGGUGUUGCCGGAUGGAGAGGAGCAGUCCCCAGAGAGUUGUGGCAGAAUUCUAGCAAAUUGGUUAAAAGUCAAGUUCAUGGGAGAUGAAGGCUCAGUGGAUGACACAUCCAGCGAUGCUGGUGGGAUUCAGACGCUUUCGCUUUUCAACUCACUUAGCAGCAAAGGGGAUCAGAUGAUUUCUGUUAACGUGUGUAUAAAGGUGGCCCAUGGCGCCCUCAGUGAUGGUGCCAUUGAUGCUGUGGAGACACAGAAGGACCUCCUGGGAGCCAGUGGACUCAUGCUGCUGCUUCCCCCCAAAAUGAAGAGUGAGGAUGUGGCAGAGGAGGACGUGUACUGGCUGUCGGCCUUGCUGCAGCUCAAGCAGCUCCUGCAGGCUAAGCCCUUCCAGCCUGCGCUUCCUCUGGUGGUUCUUGUGCCUAGCCCAGGAGGGGACGCCGUUGAGAAGGAAGUAGAAGAUGGUCUGAUGCUACAGGACUUGGUUUCAGCUAAGCUGAUUUCAGAUUACACUGUUACCGAGAUCCCUGAUACCAUUAAUGAUCUACAAGGUUCAACUAAGGUCUUGCAAGCAGUGCAGUGGCUGGUUUCCCACUGCCCCCAUUCCCUUGACCUCUGCUGCCAGACUCUCAUUCAGUACGUCGAAGACGGGAUUGGCCAUGAGUUUAGUGGCCGCUUUUUCCAUGACAGAAGAGAGAGGCGUCUGGGCGGUCUUGCUUCUCAGGAGCCUGGUGCCAUCAUUGAGCUGUUUAACAGUGUGCUGCAGUUCCUGGCUUCUGUGGUGUCCUCUGAACAGCUGUGUGACCUGUCCUGGCCUGUCACUGAGUUUGCUGAGGCAGGGGGCAGCCGGCUGCUUCCUCACCUGCACUGGAAUGCACCAGAGCACCUGGCCUGGCUGAAGCAGGCUGUGCUCGGGUUCCAGCUUCCGCAAAUGGACCUUCCACCCCUGGGGGCCCCCUGGCUCCCCGUGUGCUCCAUGGUUGUCCAGUACGCCUCCCAGAUCCCCAGCUCACGCCAGACACAGCCUGUCCUCCAGUCCCAGGUGGAGAACCUGCUCCACAGAACCUACUGUAGGUGGAAGAGCAAGAGCCCCUCCCCAGUCCAUGGGGCAGGCCCCUCCGUCAUGGAGAUCCCAUGGGAUGAUCUCAUCGCCUUGUGUAUCAACCACAAGCUGAGAGACUGGACGCCCCCCCGGCUUCCUGUUACAUCAGAGGCGCUGAGUGAAGAUGGUCAGAUAUGUGUGUAUUUCUUUAAAAACGAUUUGAAAAAAUAUGAUGUUCCUUUGUCGUGGGAACAAGCCAGGUUGCAGACGCAGAAGGAGCUACAGCUGAGAGAGGGACGUUUGGGAAUAAAGCCUUUUCAUCCUUCUGCAAACAAUUUUCCCAUACCAUUGCUUCACAUGCACCGUAACUGGAAGAGGAGCACAGAGUGUGCUCAAGAGGGGAGGAUUCCCAGCACAGAGGAUCUGAUGCGAGGAGCUUCUGCUGAGGAGCUCUUGGCGCAGUGUUUGUCGAGCAGUCUGCUGCUGGAGAAAGAGGAGAACAAGAGGUUUGAAGAUCAGCUUCAGCAAUGGUUGUCUGAAGACUCAGGAGCAUUUACGGAUUUAACUUCCCUUCCCCUCUAUCUUCCUCAGACUCUAGUGUCUCUUUCUCACACUAUUGAACCUGUGAUGAAAACAUCUGUAACUACUAGCCCACAGAGUGACAUCAUGAGGGAGCAACUGCAGCUGUCAGAGGCGACAGGAACGUGUCUAGGCGAACGACUAAAGCACCUGGAAAGGCUGAUCCGGAGUUCAAGGGAAGAGGAAGUUGCCUCUGAGCUCCAUCUCUCUGCGCUGCUAGACAUGGUGGACAUUUGAGCAGCCUGACCUGUGGGGAGGGGGUCUCUCCCGAAGAGUUUCUGUUUUUACUCAAAAUAAUGUUAUUCUCAGAUGCUUGAUGCACUGUUGGAAAUGUGAUUAAUUUAAUCAUGCAGAUAAGCCAUUUAAAUGUCA
rnacentral:sRNA from 1 species